rnacentral:rRNA from 1 species
AUGAACGCUGGCGGCGUGCCUAAUACAUGCAAGUCGAGCGAACAGACGAGGAGCUUGCUCCUCUGACGUUAGCGGCGGACGGGUGAGUAACACGUGGAUAACCUACCUAUAAGACUGGGAUAACUUCGGGAAACCGGAGCUAAUACCGGAUAAUAUAUUGAACCGCAUGGUUCAAUAGUGAAAGACGGUUUUGCUGUCACUUAUAGAUGGAUCCGCGCCGCAUUAGCUAGUUGGUAAGGUAACGGCUUACCAAGGCAACGAUGCGUAGCCGACCUGAGAGGGUGUUCGGCCACACUGGAACUGAGACACGGUCCAGACUCCUACGGGAGGCAGCAGUAGGGAAUCUUCCGCAAUGGGCGAAAGCUUGACGGAGCAACGCCGCGUGAGUGAUGAAGGUCUUCGGAUCGUAAAACUCUGUUAUUAGGGAAGAACAAAUGUGUAAGUAACUAUGCACGUCUUGACGGUACCUAAUCAGAAAGCCACGGCUAACUACGUG